GCGUCCCUGCUUCUGUGACGCCUGCCCGCGCACUACAUGGAAUGAACAUACUCUUUCCUAAAACACACAGGAAACAUUCUCCAGGAGGCCAUCUGCUAGUCCAUAAAACAAACCUCCAUAAAAAGGACUUAAAUCAUGAGCCGAGGUGGUAGAAAAACAGGGCAGGAACACUCAAGACAAGAGCUUCCUUGUCAACAUCUAAUGGGAAAAAAGGAGAAGAAUUAUCGGGAAGGCCCGGAGGAGAGGAGGGGGG